UCUGUUGCUCAGGCUGGAGUUCAGUGACUCAGUCAUAUCUCACUGCAGCCUCGAACUCCUUGCUUCAAGACGUCCUCCCACUUUGGCAUCUUAAAGUGCUGGGAUUCCAGGUGUGAGCCACCAUGCCCUGCCAAACAGAAGCUCAUGUUUUUGAGGGGAGAAGCCUAGAAGAAGAUGUAACAGGCAGCAAUCUCCUCAACCACUUGAGUGAAACCGGAAAUAGUCUAAAACCUUGAAGCAGAUGAUGCUUAACUCACAGGUUUCUUUCACUUUCUGUUGUCCAGGUCCUGCCUUGGAAAGCAAUUUAUGCCUGAUAUCUUCACAGAAGCAUCUACAAUUUAAUUAGGGCAGAGAGAGAUCCUCUAGGGGAUAAUUCUCUAGUAGCCUAAUUGUGAAUACUGCCAUCCUAUCGUGUGUGAAUUUCUGCAACAGCCUCCUAAUAGGUUGCUCUGCCUCUAGGUCUUGUCCUCUGCCACUCAUCUCUAAUGCCACUCUACAUACUAGCUCUCCAUUGCUGGUAGAAUAAAGUAGGCCUAGCAUCAUCUCACAUCAACCUGCUUCUGAAACCUAAUUUCUAACUUCACUCCAGAUGAUCCUCUCAGCUCAGUCCUUUGUAAUUAUAUUCGUAUUUAAUGUUCUUUAACGCUUUGACCAUCUUCCCUUCCUAAAAUUGCAUCCUCUGGUCCAUGCAUUGCCAUGGCAUAUAAUAAAAUGAAAUACUUGCUGAAUGGAUGGAUGGAUACAUAGAUUUCAUCUUUGCUUUUCUUCCAACCUUAGCUCUUGUAUAAAGCUUUUAUUUAACUAACACAUUUUGUAUUUAUUUAGCCUUGCUUUGAAUCCUAGACUACUUUUCUCUGCCUAUUAUUUAGCACUCAGCAUGUACUGACUUGUGUUGUUAAUUAUUAAUUAAUUAAAUCGAUGAGCAUUGUUAUGUUUCUGUAAUGUACCAGGUACUGGACUGGGCACUGGAGACAGAUACAAAGGAACUUCCUGUUUGUUGCAAAGUGCUUUCAGUGUAGAGGGGAACAGAUGAGAAAAUCACCAGUCACUGCUUUAAAAGAUACACACAGAGAGUGUUGUGUGAGCUUGGGAAAAAUCAAAAGGAGAGGGAUUCAAUAAAAUUUAGGUUGAGGCUCAGGAAAUACUCAGUUCCCAAGAUCAAAAUGCUUGAUCUGAGAGGUGUUUCAUUCAUGUGUGUCUUCUUUCCAAGUCUAUCUGGGCAGGGUUUUUUUUUUUUUUUUUUGCUUUUUUUGAUUUGCCGAGAACCUCGCAUCUAGUAACAAUAUUCAUCCCUUAAAUUUUUGAGUUGCUUUACCAUGAUUAAAGUGAUUUCAUACCCUUCUCUUAAUUAGUUACCAAAAAAUCCAUCUGUUUUUUUGGAUAUCAGGACAAGUAAGACCACAGUACCCAAGAGCAGUAUCCAUUCAGUCUUACCUUCAGCAUGCAUUUAGAAGGAAGGUUUUCUGAUGCCUGUAGAGAGGGCUCAAUCCCACUGAGCAAGUUAAAGGAAUGGGGUUAUUUAGGGGAGACGGAGAUCUUCUGGUCUGCCUUUAUUAAUGGCUCUGAGCUGAAUCAGCUCCACCUUACAUGAUAGCUGAUCCAGCCCUAUUUUUGAAAGGGUAAGAUUUGUUCCCCAUGGGGCAGGUAGAAAUGACAUUUGGAGAAGCCAGCUUCAAGAAACAUCUGGAGGUGUGAGGCCAGGUAAAUGGUAUAAGCAAGAGACAUUCUUUUACAAAUGCAUCAUAAGAAUGUUAUGACAGUGGUAUUCCAGCUGCAGCAGAGAACUGGAGUCUUCCCAAGGGUAAGGAAAGAGGAGACAUUUAUGCUGACAAAUAGAGGUCAGUAUCAAAGACUCUUAAGUUUAAAAAGUUAAAUUAUGAUGAGUUUUGGUGCGAGCUCUCAUGCCAAAAGAACUUUUCCUUCUAAAUGUCAGAUUACUCCUCCUUUACUUCUGCUAGUGGAGUUUUCCUUAUCCUCAGGAAAAUAGUAUAUAAAUAUGGCAGAAAUAUGUUCCUGGGUCAUAAGAGAAAGAAAAAAAAUCUGCUUCAAGUUGCAGCACAGUGCAAGUUUGUAAUCCCUGAAUUUUUCUCCAGCUCUCAGUAUCUAAUCCUUGAAGCCACUUGGUGAAACUCAAAGAUUACAUGGUAACUUGACUAAUAAUUUAAGAGCUGCCAAAAUUAAAAAAAAUAUAGUCUACCCUUCUCCCAAGGAAAGAUCCAUGAGUCACAGACCUAAAAGUGCCAGUAUUUAGGCAGCAAAUGUAGAAAGCACUGAGCAGAAAAAUAUCCAAACUCUUUCAAAACUGGUGGAAAACUGAUACGUUGAAGGCGCAAAGAUUUGUAGCCAUCACUCACCCAUGUAAGGUCCCAGCAUACUCAUGAAUCUUGGAUGGUCCAGAACAGGAUUAUCAAUUUUCAGUGGGACAAGUUUCUUGAACAGAGGGCCAUGAAAAUAUCCAUUUUCUCUUUUCAUGUUGCUGUUGAUUUGUUUUAUCCUAGAGACCAUUAAAAACAAAGCUUUUGUGAUUUAAGUAUGAGGCCUGUUUGUCUUAGUAGCUUUAUUUCCUUGCAAAGUUGGUUUUGGUCUUAGGUUGCAAAGUAAUGGAACUGUGGCCAAGAUAUGUGCAUGCAUGUUAUGAUCGAUGCAUUGGUUAAUUCAUUGUAGUUUGUUACUGUUAUGAAAAAUAUACCCUUUAUCCCUGUAAGGAGGAGGAUGAAUUAGAGCACCUUGUGGGAUUAAGAGCAUGGGUUUUGAGGUUAGACAGAUUUCGGUUUGAGUCCUAGCCAAUCUAAUCACAAGUUCCAUGACCUUAGGCAAGUUUUUAAAACGUUUCUAAGAAUUGGUUUCUUCAUCUGUAAAAUGAUGAUAACACAAGCUAUGAUGUGGAAUUACAAGACAGAUUUAAUGAGAUAAUAUAUAGAAAGCUCUUAGUAGGGUAUGAGACAUAUCAUCAGCACUCAAUAAGUAGUAGGUGUUAUUUUUGUUUCUAUUGCUAUUGCUACCAUCAUCUAACUUCCAUGAACUCUUAUUGAAUCCAUAUUCUCAUCCAGGACACUAGACUCUUUUUAUGCUUCUAGUGAUUGUUUAUUGGUACUUGUCAAUGCGCUAAACACAUGAGAUGCUUUGAUCAUGGGAAUUAAGGGUCCCAAGCCCUAUGUGUGAUCUCCAGGAUAGUGUACCCUUCUGGUUGAACCAGUUAACAAGAGGAACAGACAUGGUGAAGCAUGACUAGCAGAAUUACUUCAGGAUAGGAAAAUUAAGUCAUAUACAGAACACAGAAAACUGAGGGUAUUCAGUAGAGAGAAAACUUGGGAGGAAUAUCAUAGCCCCUUUCAGAUAUGUCAGGAGUUAUAGUGUCAAAUAGAGAUUGGACUGGGUCAGAGUUUCUGAGUCUCAGUGCUACUGACAUGUUGGGUUAGAUAAUUCUUUGUUAAGGGGGUGAGCUGUUGUCUUGUGACUUUUAUGGUGUUUAACAGUACCACUGGCCUCUAUAUACUCUAUAUUUCAGUAGCAUUUUUGGUAGUCACAACAACCAAAAGCAUCUCCAGACAUUGCCAGAUGUCUUCUGGAGCCAAAAAUCUAGGAGUCUUCUGGGAGCCAAUCUCUUUGUUUGAAAACCACUGGACUAGAUUAAUCUUAUAGAGCAGAGCAGAACUGUGACCAGUUUAUGGAAAUGCCACGAGGGUGCUGUUGGUUGAGCCCAAGGAAGACCUUAUUACUACUACCCAGCAAUUUCCCACAGCAGAACAGAUGCUUCAGAGGGCAGUGAGCUUCUGGGCACUGGAGGCAUUCAAUCACAGGCUGAUAAGCUGCUUGGGUUUUCUUAAAUAGUGUUCAUUUGGGGCAGAUUGUUGGUCUUCAUUAUUUCUAUCUUCCUAAUUCUCCCAAACUCCCUAUUCUUUGUGAAAUAAAUUUCUGUCAUCUCAAGUGGUCUAGCCCAUCCUUAGCAUGGAGUUAUGAGGAGAGGACUAACAUGCAAAGAGGACACCAAUGCUCUGAUCUCAGAUCAUCUUCUGUUUGUGACUUGCUAUUUGUGAAUUGCUAAACUUCACUGGGCAUAAGGAUCCCAGAUGCUUUCCUUUAUUCCAAUUCAACAUUCCAUGGUUCUGGAAUGUUGUUUCUUAACUUAAUGUCAAAUCAGAAAAUUUCCCUGUCACUGCUUCUUCUUUAUAGUUUAUGGUUUAAUUGACAAUCUGGAGGAAUUCUCAUUGACUCAGAUUUAGAGAUUCUGUUUGCUGAGGUGCUUAGCUCUUAAAAUCUGAAGAAGAAUAAAAUAAAACCUCAAGGGUUUUGGCUGAAACACAGGUAGAAAUUGCCUUUCACUAACAAAUAAGGAACAUGGUUGAGCCUUAAAACUAUUUUCUGCAAAAACCCUGAUGCUGUGCCCUAGAAGACAAUCAAUGUAUAGUGAUUGAAUUUAACAAAAUAAAGUAUCCUUCCAUGUAGUGGAUUUUAUGCCUUGAAAUUUCAGUGUUUUCUGUGUCUCUUCUAGGGUUUCCAAAUAUUUUAAGUUUGGAACACUUUUUAUUUUCUAUGUAAAGCCUCUAAUAGGAUCAUGUUAUCACAGGUCCUGCUUGCCAUAUAGCUCACUGACCAAGUCUUUCUAAUAUUAGGAGAUAGUAUCUACAUACUUUCAUGUAAUGCUAGAUGACUAUGUCUAUUGCAAAGGCAACAAACUGCUUUUGAAAGCGGAUAAUAUGUUCUAUAAUUGUCAGACCCAUGCUUACCUCUUCCUACCAAAUGAACCAUUAACAUCAUCUUCCUAAAAUGUAUCCACAUCUGUGGUUCAGAGAUCUGCCCCAUCUGAUAUCCUACUUGAGGAAGAUCGGGCUAAUAAACAAACCGAAGACGGAACCAGUACAAACACAAAGAGGCUAUAGAUAAAAAAGAGAGCAUGGCAAGAGGAAGAAAAUACUUGAACUUUUCAAGCAAGGAUGCCACCCAGUUUUAGCUUUAUAAUAGAUGGUCCGUUAGCAUUUUAAAGUGACUAUCAGUUAGAAUAGGCUAGGUUAUAAUGCAGUAACAAACAACCCCCAAAUUUCAGUCCCUUAACAAUAAAAGGUUAUUUCUUGUUUCUGGCCAUCUUAAGUCUACAUCAGUACUGCUCCAUGUUGUGUUUACUCAACGAACCAGGUUGACAGAGCAAUUUUUUUUGUGGGGGGACAUUGCUGGUCAUUGAGCCGAGAGAAAUAGAAAGCUUGGAGACAACAUACUGGCUCUCAAAACUUCUGCGUAUCAGUGACACAUAUUUCCUGCAUAUUUUACUGACUGCAGAAGGUCCAGUGGCCAAGCCCCAUAAAUAGAAGAGAGAAAUGUGAUUCUCCUUCAUUCAAGCUUCAAUAUUGUAAGUUUCCAUGGCCCUUUUCCUGCAGAAUUGAUUACUGGUCAGAAACAAGCUGAACCAUAUAAACUUAAAAAAUGAGAGAACACCUGUGUGUGCCCAUGCAUGAUGCAGAAUUUGGAUCAGCAUUUCUUAGUCUGAGGACCUUUUUUUUCCUCCUGCUGAGUUGGAUGGGGAAUCUGAAGCCCUGUCAUCUUUCCCACAGCCCCCUGCUAACUUUGAGAGAGAAGGGACCAGCUGUGUUUCCUGAUGGAGUGGGGAUGGCAGCUGCAGGCUGAAACACCAUGUUGUCUCAUUGUCCUGAUUUCAAGGUGAAUGGGGUCAGUAGAGAGGGCAGCUGGUAGGACCCAGUCUUUAGCUGAUUUCCUCCUCUAGUUGUGGGGGCUGCUGCAAGUCAUUUGUCUCACCCUGCAUGCCUGUUGUAAUGUUGAAAAAAAAAACCAGAAGGUAAGUUCAGUCCAAUGUGGGCAAUUCAACACACAGGUGGGAAAGGUAUACAAAAGUGUAAUCAAUGCCACCCUGAAGAAAGUGUCUUUGUACUGAAAGUGAGCUAAAAGAAUGUUGGCUUUGGACCCAGAAAAGUAAGAUUUUCUUGAAGUGGUCUUUGGAAUUAAACUAACUGAAAAGACUAGGUGAGGAAAACCAGAAAAUAAUAGAAGAAAGUAGAGAAGAGGAGAGAGGAGAGAAAAGACAGAUCAUUCUGAUCACAAGGGAUAGGUAGAGAUUAGGGAGAGAGACUCUCUUGGGGAUCAAAAUGAUCUGGAGCUUUUUCCUACUGGAUUGAGUUAAAAAGAAUAAGGAAGCAUCUAGAUAGAUUGGGCAUAGAAUAAGCUUGAUCUAAGGAAAUGGUUAACAAUUAAUCUUGAAGUAGACCAUGAGGAAACAGAGUGUGUUGGAGUAUCCUUCCACAAGUGCCCCUUUCUUCCAUAAGUCACAGUCCACUCUGUAACCUCUUGGGACCCAGAUGAAAACUUAUGAAAAAGGGGUGUCAAAGUCAACUGGUGCUGUUGGUUGACAGCUGCCAUGUGUCUUAUUUUGUAGGUACUACUGAAACCAUCUCCAGGUCCAGGCAGGAAUGCACAGGAAGUCCUUGCCCUCCCACUGCUCAUGCAAGAGGGAAAGCCUCCAGCAGGUGCACCAACCUUACUCCCUUUGGUCCAGUGUGAGAUUCUCACUUCUGAUAGUUCAUUUUGAGCAAGAGUUUAUUUUGGGUUAAUUGUAUCAGAACAUAAAUGUUUUGUCCUCUUUGAUACAAAUGGCUACACUGAGUACUUUGGUGGCUUAUUUUAUAGACUCAGACUGUGCUAAAAUGGAAAA